UGUGGGCUCAGUUUGCAGAGCGUUCAAACACUAAAAACCAGCUGUGUUAAACUGUCUUUACUGUAGGAAUGAGCAGCUUGGCUGGGACAGGGAAGCACUGGCCUUGUCCCCUCAUCCCAAGAGGCACUGGAGGAGAGCCCUGCCUGGAUGGAGCUGGCAGGCCCAGGUGGGGAAGGUGCAGGGCAGCAGGAUGUGGAAAGAAAGACUGCCCUAAGAAGAAGCUGGGAAAAACAUUUUGAGGACCUUGGAGGUUGCUGGAUGACUCUGUGAUAUUGGAGAGUUCAACAUUUGCAUUUCCUUCCUCAUUGUAACAGAGGAAUUUUCAGUAGUCUCUACAGGAACUGUUUAUCUAAAGGCUGUGUUAAGAGUUUGGAAAUAAACAUGUGUUUUGGCUACGA